rnacentral:rRNA from 1 species
AUCAGAAACUUAUAAGUAAAAUCUUAAUGAAAAUUAUAUUAACUGAGAGAAACAUCUUCAAUUUAAGUAAAGGAGAUUGAAUCUUAAUUCUUUUUAUCGCCAAGCAAGUACUGUAAAGGAAUAAAUAUUAAUUAACUUGCAGUAGAGAUAAAUACUCGUACCUUUUGUAUCAUGGCUUAGCUAGAUUUCUUUCUAAAUAGAAUAUCUAGAAAACUAAUGAGCGACCCUAAUUUUUCUUAGUAGAGAAAAAAAAGUAGAUGUGGCAAAAUCUUUUUAAAAACUUAGGGUAGAAAUGAAAUUUUAUUCGCAUUAGUUUAUAGCUAGUUUUUUCCUAAAGGCAUAGAAGUGCUUUCAACUUAAAGUGUAAUUUUGAUCUAGAAUAAUCAAAUUAUUACUAAGUUGUUUUAAUUCUUUGAGGAUUAGCUCGAAGAAUAUCCAUAAAAUUUUACAUUUAGAACCGUAAAUCAAAUUUAGGCUUGAAAGUAGCUUGUAUCUUGAGUUUGUUAUAAAUCAUUGAAAAUAAUAAACAGGGAUAAUUAGUUUGUAGGAAUGUUAAGGAGAAAGACCUCAAUAACUAGCAAUUGGAGGUAUUUAAAUGCUAAGAUGAGUAUCAACAACAUAAUUAAAUAUCUAAAAAUUGUAAAGACUAGAAUAACGAUACAAAUAUAUAAAAAUAAAAUCUAUGAAAGGAACUCGGCAAACUUUUUGCUCCGCCUGUUUAUCAAAAACAUGGCUCUAUGGAUAAAACAAAUAUAGAGUCGGACCUGCCCAGUGAGGUUUUUUAACGGCCGCGGUACUCUGACCGUGCAAAGGUAGCAUAAUCAUUUGCCCUAUAAUUGAGGGCUGGUAUGAAUGGUUUGACGUGAGCAAAGCUGUCUCUCAUAGAAUAAUUAGAAUUUAACUUACAGGUGAAGAUGCCUGUAUAGCAUUGAUAGACAAGAAGACCCUAUCGAGCUUUAAAGGAAUGUUUAGAGUAAAGUUGACUAUUUGAAGUACAUUUAACUAAACAAAAUUUUGGUUGGGGCGACUGAGGAACAAAUAAAGCUUCCUUUUUUACCUAUAAACCUACUGGUAGUGAUCCAAAUAUUAUUGAUUAAAGAAAUUAGUUACCGUAGGGAUAACAGCAUAAUCUUUUUUGAGAGCUCAUAUCGAAAAAAAGGUUUGUGACCUCGAUGUUGGACUAGAGUUUCCUGAAGAUGUAGAAGUCUUCAAGGGUUGGUCUGUUCGACCAUUAAAACUCUACAUGAUCUGAGUUCAGACCGGCGUGAGCCAGGUCAGUUUCUAUCUUCAAUUAAUUAACCUAAGCUUAGUACGAAAGGACCAGUUUAAGAAAAAUAUUUUUCAUUGUGAUAAAAUAUAAUGAUAAUAUGAAUAUG